GUACUCUCACACUCCCGAUCUUUGCAUUGGGAGCAGUGGACUUGGGUUUGCUGCUUCACCGUCGCUUACCUCAAAUAGGUUAGUGCAACUCUUGGUUGGACAUAGUACGGCGUGAUAAGUGUUCUUCGCCGGUGCCUCGCAAAGAGGGUGGCCGAUCGGGAUGUUGUGCUCCAAACCGUCUUCGGACAAUCUCUGACA
rnacentral:misc_RNA from 1 species